rnacentral:rRNA from 1 species
UACGAAGGGGGCUAGCGUUGCUCGGAAUCACUGGGCGUAAAGGGCGCGUAGGCGGCCUUCUAAGUCGAACGUGAAAUCCCCGGGCUCAACCCGGGAACUGCGUCCGAGACCGGAAGGCUCGAAUCCGGGAGAGGGAUGUGGAAUUCCAGGUGUAGCGGUGAAAUGCGUAGAUAUCUGGAGGAACAUCGGUGGCGAAGGCGGCAUCCUGGACCGGUAUUGACGCUGAGGCGCGAAAGCCAGGGGAGCAAACGGG